AGAGACGGAUACGCAAUCGCUUUACAUCUAUUGUAAAGAGGAAAGUCCGAACUUUAACUGCAAGAAAGCGUUGGCAAUAUUGCAGAAAACGGUAGCAGGUAAUUCCUGUCGCCCGCAAGGGCAGAGGUGCGAACAGAGACGCUUUUUCUGGAGACGGAAAAAGUAUCCUAUAAAAAGGAUAAGUUUUUGCAGUAAUGCGAAAAGUGAAACGGCUAAAUCCUUACUGGAAAGCAAGACUGAAAUAUAGUCGCUUGACCGUUAAAAGCGAUUUUAAUGGCAGAGAAAUGAUUGCGCUUUUAAAAAUUAUUUUUAAAAGACAAAAUUCGGUGUAUAAUCCGUCUUUAUUU
rnacentral:RNase_P_RNA from 1 species